rnacentral:rRNA from 1 species
GACGAACGCUGGCGGCGUGCCUAAUACAUGCAAGUUGAGCGCUGAAGGUUGGUACUUGUACCAACUGGAUGAGCAGCGAACGGGUGAGUAACGCGUGGGGAAUCUGCCUUUGAGCGGGGGACAACAUUUGGAAACGAAUGCUAAUACCGCAUAAAAACUUUAAACACAAGUUUUAAGUUUGAAAGAUGCAAUUGCAUCACUCAAAGAUGAUCCCGCGUUGUAUUAGCUAGUUGGUGAGGUAAAGGCUCACCAAGGCGAUGAUACGUAGCCGACCUGAGAGGGUGAUCGGCCACAUUGGGACUGAGACACGGCCCAAACUCCUGCGGGAGGCAGCAGUAGGGAAUCUUCGGCAAUGGACGAAAGUCUGACCGAGCAACGCCGCGUGAGUGAAGAAGGUUUUCGGAUCGUAAAACUCUGUUGGUAGAGAAGAACGUUGGUGAGAGUGGAAAGCUCAUCAAGUGACGGUAACUACCCAGAAAGGGACGGCUAACUACGUG